rnacentral:rRNA from 1 species
UACGUAGGGUGCGAGCGUUGUCCGGAAUUAUUGGGCGUAAAGAGCUCGUAGGCGGUUUUGUUGCGUCGGCUGUGAAAUCCCGAGGCUCAACCUCGGGUCUGCAGUCGAUACGAGCAAACUAGAGUGUUGCAGGGGAGACUGGAAUUCCUGGUGUAGCGGUGAAAUGCGCAGAUAUCGGGAGGAACACCCGUAGCGAAGGCGGCACUCUGGGCCGUGACUGACGCUGAGGAGCGAAAGCGUGGGGAGCAAACAGG